rnacentral:rRNA from 1 species
GUGAGGAAUUUUCCACAAUGGGCGAAAGCCUGACGGAGCAAUGCCGCGUGAAGGAUGAAGGCCUAUGGGUUGUAAACUUCUUUUCUCAGAAAAGAAUUAUGACGGUAUCUGAGGAAUAAGCAUCGGCUAACUCUGUGCCAGCAGCCGCGGUAAGACAGAGGAUGCAAGCGUUAUCCGGAAUGAUUGGGCGUAAAGCGUCUGUAGGUUGUUUAAAAAGUAUUCUGUCAAAGAUUAGGGCUUAACCCUAGAUAGGCAGAAUAAACUUUUAAGCUAGAGUUUGGUAGAGGCAGAGGGAAUUCCCGGUGGAGCGGUGAAAUGCGUAGAUAUCGGGAGGAACACCAAAGGCGAAGGCACUCUGCUGGGCCAAUACUAACACUGAGAGACGAAAGCGAGGGGAGCAAAUGGGAUUAGAUACCCUGGUAGUCC